rnacentral:tRNA from 1 species
AGCCCGGUGGUGUAGCGGCCAAUCAUUUCGGCCUUUGGAGCCGAAUACGCAGGUUCGAAUCCUGCCCGGGCUA